UCCGUAGGGUAACCUGCGGAGGGAUCAUUACCGAGUUUACAACUCCCAAACCCCUGUGAACAUACCACUUGUUGCCUCGGCGGAUCAGCCCGCUCCCGGUAAAACGGGACGGCCCGCCAGAGGACCCCUAAACUCUGUUUCUAUAUGUAACUUCUGAGUAAAACCAUAAAUAAAUCAAAACUUUCAACAACGGAUCUCUUGGUUCUGGCAUCGAUGAAGAACGCAGCAAAAUGCGAUAAGUAAUGUGAAUUGCAGAAUUCAGUGAAUCAUCGAAUCUUUGAACGCACAUUGCGCCCGCCAGUAUUCUGGCGGGCAUGCCUGUUCGAGCGUCAUUUCAACCCUCAAGCACAGCUUGGUGUUGGGACUCGCGUUAAUUCGCGUUCCUCAAAUUGAUUGGCGGUCACGUCGAGCUUCCAUAGCGUAGUAGUAAAACCCUCGUUACUGGUAAUCGUCGCGGCCACGCCGUUAAACCCCAACUUCUGAAUGUGACCUCGGAUCAGUAGA
rnacentral:sRNA from 1 species